UACGGGGGGGGCAAGCGUUGUUCGGAAUUACUGGGCGUAAAGGGCUCGUAGGCGGCCAACUAAGUCAGACGUGAAUCCCUCGGCUUAACCGGGGAACUGCGUCUGAUACUGGAUGGCUUGAGAUUGGGAGAGGGAUGCGGAAUUCCAGGUGUAGCGGUGAAAUGCGUAGAUAUCGGGAGGAACACCUGUGGCGAAAGCGGCGCACUGGACCAUAACUGACGGCUGAUGCGCGAAAGCCAGGGGAGCGAACGGG
rnacentral:rRNA from 1 species